rnacentral:misc_RNA from 1 species
GUAGGUGAACCUGCGGAAGGAUCAUUAUUGAAAUAAACCUGAUGGGUUGCUGCUGGCUCUCUCGGGAGCAUGUGCACACUUGUCAUCUUUAUAUCUCCACCUGUGCACCUUUUGUAGAUCUGGAUAUCUUUCUGAAUGCCCGCAUUCAGGUUUGAGGAUUGACUUGUCUUUCCUUACAUUUCCAGGCCUAUGUUUCUUCAUAUACACCAUGUAUGUUAUAGAAUGUAAUGAAAAGGGCCUUUGUGCCUAC